rnacentral:rRNA from 1 species
GACGAACGCUGGCGGCGUGCUUAACGCAUGCAAGUCGAGCGGUAAGGCUCCUUCGGGGGUACACGAGCGGCGAACGGGUGAGUAACACGUGAGUAAUCUGCCCCUCACUUCGGGAUAAGCCUCGGAAACGAGGUCUAAUACCGGAUACGACCACUUCCUGCAUGGGAUGGUGGUGGAAAGUUUUUUUCGGUGGGGGAUGUGCUCGCGGCCUAUCAGCUUGUUGGUGGGGUAAUGGCCUACCAAGGCUUCGACGGGUAGCCGGCCUGAGAGGGGGACCGGCCACACUGGGACUGAGACACGGCCCAGACUCCUACGGGAGGCAGCAGUGGGGAAUAUUGGACAAUGGGCGGAAGCCUGAUCCAGCAACGCCGCGUGAGGGAUGACGGCCUUCGGGUUGUAAACCUCUUUCAGCGGGGACGAAGCGCAAGUGACGGUACCCGCAGAAGAAGCACCGGCCAACUACGUGCCAGCCGCCGCCGUAAGAC